rnacentral:rRNA from 1 species
UUGGAGGGCAAGUCUGGUGCCAGCAGCCGCGGUAAUUCCAGCUCCAAUAGCGUAUAUUAAAGUUGUUGCAGUUAAAAAGCUCGUAGUUGAAUUUCGGGGUUAGUAGGUUGGUCAUGCCUCUGGUAUGUACUGGUCUCACUGAUUCCUCCUUCCUGAUGAGCCGUAAUGCCAUUAAUUUGGUGUUGCGGGGAAUUUGGACUGUUACUUUGAAAAAAUUAGAGUGUUUAAAGCAAGCUAACGCUUGAAUACAUUAGCAUGGAAUAAUGAAAUAGGACGUUCGAUCCUAUUUUGUUGGUUUCUAGGAUUGACGUAAUGAUUAAUAGGGAUAGUUGGGGGCAUUAGUAUUCAAUUGUCAGAGGUGAAAUUCUUGGAUUUAUUGAAGACUAACUACUGCGAAAGCAUUUGCCAAGGAUGUUUUCAUUAAUCAAGAACGAAAGUUAGGGGAUCGAAGACGGUCAGAUACCGUCGUAGUCUUAACCAUAAACUAUGCCGACUAGGGAUCGGAUGAUGUUAAUUUUUUAAUGACUCAUUCGGCGCCUUACGGGAAAC